ACUCCUACGGGAGGCAGCAGUGGGGAAUAUUGCACAAUGGGCGCAAGCCUGAUGCAGCGACGCCGCGUGAGGGAUGACGGCCUUCGGGUUGUAAACCUCUUUCAGUAGGGAAGAAGCCGCAAGGUGACGGUACCUGCAGAAGAAGCGCCGGCUAACUACGUGCCAGCAGCCGCGGUAAU
rnacentral:rRNA from 1 species